rnacentral:lncRNA from 1 species
AGAAUAAGAAUAAGAAUAGGAAUAAGAAGAAGGAAGAUGAAUAAGAAAAGGAAGAAGAGGUUGAGGGACCCCCGGACCGAAAGUGCGAAAGAAGAGGCCCACGAAGCUUAUUUCCCCUUCUCUUCCGUCAUAUCAGAUGGAGUGUAGUAUGUAUAAGAGAGAAGGAAUAGGUUGGACCCUAUCGACGGUGAGGAACAAGAGGGAGAGAAAGAGAGAAAGAAAGAGAGAGGGAUCGUUCCCCUUCUCCAGUUAUUUGGUGUGCGUGGCUGAAACGCGCGCGUCUUUUCACUUAGUCUGUCUCACUCUUACUUCGUCGAUGCAUCUCACGCAUGCGCAAAGAUGGCGGACGGCUUGGACGAUCAGCUGUUGACCGUCGUCGUGUCGCAUAUGUGUGAGAGGGUCGACGACGUAACGAUGGAGGACGUCUGACGAUAGUUGUCUCUCUCUACUGUGAGAUAGCUCCUGAACGUUCCUUUUUCUCUUACCCAACUGGAAGCUUCUAUCUCGAAGAAGAACAUCCCUUUUUAAUUGACGACAACGUCAUCUUUCGGUCGCUCCUCGUAAUCACUUGCGCGCCAAAACUUCACGAACUGGGUCUUCUUCUUCCUUUUCGAAGAUGGCCUCGGUUGUCCGUUCAGAUGAGACACAUCGACAGACCCCCUUCCGACACGAAGGACCAGGGGCCUUAUCGAUGAAAAAUUCUUCGGAGCCCUUGCGCCUGCGCCAUUCGCGUUACGUAAUCUAACCAAGAAAACUAGAAGGAGAUCAAAGUUACUACAGUUAUAAUACACUUGUAUACGAACAAUUUUUAUAUAUAUAUAUAUAUACACUUACAUAGUUGCAUAUACACAUUUAAGAUUCCCCCUUUAAAACUUCAACUUGUUCUUUGUCUCUGCGCACAAGUGUUACUAGUGUUGCAACUCUAUUCUACGUGCCAAUGUAAUUUUAAACUUUAAUAGGUUUUACAAAUUGAUAAAAAUAAAAUUAAAUAAAAUGAAAAAAUUUCUAGAAAACCUUUACUCUUCACUGUUCAAAACGGAAAGACAUUACCGAUGCUUCUCGUUUCUAAGCCGAAACUAAGCGGUUGUUCUCUUCGGCUUUUUUCGUUGAACGGAGGGCUGUCUAAACAGUAGCGUAUUGGAUCCCUUUGAAAUAGGGAUCAUCAUCGAUAAAAUGCUCAUAAUAACUUCAAAUUUUAUCAAUGUUUAUGUUUCAAUCUUUCUGACAAUCUAAAGGCCAUAACAAAUAUACGUACAUGUAUGCAUAUAAUUUGACACUUUAAAAGGUUUAUAUUCACGAAAACAAAAAAUUAUUAAUAUUUUUUAUUCUUGUUAUAAUACUUGUACAAUAAAAUAGGAUCGAUCCUAUACUACAAACAUUCAUUUGCAUGCAACAAAGGAAAAUAACAAAAAAAUAAAA